rnacentral:rRNA from 1 species
AUUGAACGCUGGCGGCAGGCUUAACACAUGCAAGUCGAGCGGGGAAUGGUAGCUUGCUACCUGACCUAGCGGCGGACGGGUGAGUAAUGCUUAGGAAUCUGCCUAUUGGUGGGGGACAACAUUCCGAAAGGAAUGCUAAUACCGCAUACGCCCUACGGGGGAAAGCAGGGGAUCUUCGGACCUCGCGCUAAUAGAUGAGCCUAAGUCAGAUUAGCUAGUUGGUGGGGUAAAGGCCUACCAAGGCGACGAUCUGUAGCGGGUCUGAGAGGAUGAUCCGCCACACUGGGACUGAGACACGGCCCAGACUCCUACGGGAGGCAGCAGUGGGGAAUAUUGGACAAUGGGCGCAAGCCUGAUCCAGCCAUGCCGCGUGUGUGAAGAAGGCCUUUUGGUUGUAAAGCACUUUAAGCGUGGAGGAGGCUACUUGGAUUAAUACUCUAGGAUAGUGGACGUUACUCGCAGAAUAAGCACCGGCUAACUCUGUGCCAGCCGCCGCAGUAA